UUUUCCUUUUUGGAAGUAAAAAGUCGUAACAAGGUUUCCGUAGGUGAACCUGCGGAAGGAUCAUUAUCAUACAAUGGAGGUGCAAGAGCUUGUCGCUGACCCUUUAAAGGUCGUGCACGCCCGAGCACUCUCACACAUCCAUCUCACCCAUCGUGCACAACCGCGUGAGUCCCCUCGGAAGGGGGGGCCUACGUUUUUUCACACAAACCUUAAAGCAGUGUAGAAUGUAUUUUCUUUUUGCGGUGAUACGCGAUCAAUACAACUUUCAACAACGGAUCUCUUGGCUCUCGCAUCGAUGAAGAACGUAGCGAAAUGCGAUAUGUAAUGUGAAUUGCAGAAUUCAGUGAAUCAUCGAAUCUUUGAACGCACCUUGCGCCCCUUGGCAUUCCGAGGGGCACACCCGUUUGAGUGUCGUGAAAUCAUCAAAACCUUUUCUUUGAUCAUUUUGGUCAAGAAUGGGAUUUUGGACUUGGAGGAYCAAUGCUUGCUCUCACCUUUUGAAAGUGAGCUCCUCUCAAAUAAAUUAGUGGGGGUUUGCUUYGCCGAUCCUUGACGUGAUAAGUYGUUUCUACGUUUUGGAUUUGGUUGGACACCUGCUUCUAACCGUCCUAUGGACGACGAUGGUGUUUCGGUCACCCGGACCCAUUAGAAAACCUUGACCUCAAAUCGGGUGAGACUACCCGCUGAACUUAAGCAUAUCAUAAAGCGGGAAGAAAA
rnacentral:sRNA from 1 species